rnacentral:rRNA from 1 species
GCCUGUUGCUACACCACCCUGACCUUGCGGGAUCUCAUCUGAUCUUGUAAGCUAAGCAGGGUCAGUCCCAGUUAGUACUUGGAUCACCUGGGAACAGGUG